rnacentral:lncRNA from 1 species
AUGCCAGACCUGCUUGUCUUUCCCUGCGAGGCUCUCCCUGACCUUCAGACGAAGUCAACUGGCAAGACUAUUUUACUGUGUCCCGAUCAAGCCAUUGUGCUGCUCCCACAGCCCGGGCUCCCCCUUUCUACCAUCCCCGUCCUCCCCCGAUCACUUCAGCUCCAAAGGGGUUGCACCAGGGGUAGAGUCCCACCUCUCCUACUGGUGACAGGAGGCCCGAUCCGCUGCAGAACUCAUGCCCUCUCCACCCAACCCCGAGAGGGCUGUCGGCAUGCUCUGUGCCCGGGGUGGGUAUUGCUCUGCUUGGAGCACCGCUCCUUCCUCUUCUUCAAUAUCCGUCCCGAACCCGGGAUGGACAGCGGACCGCAGCCUUCACGAUCUACAGCAGGCGACCGCGCGGAGGAGGGUCCUUCUCCUCCCUUCCUUGCCCCCGCCCUCCACCCAUCUUCUCUUGGGAUACAGACGGACCUGAAUAGGGAGGGAACGGAGAGCUCAGCCGGCGGUCCCUCCGGCCACAGUACAAUCCAAGCCGAAGGAGAAGAAAGGACGAGGCGCUACUCUCUCCCUGUUUUCGUCGCUGUCUGCCAACUCUUUCCAGGACCUAGGGAACGAGAGGGGAUGUCCAGGAAUGACCCAGAGCGGAAGACGCGGAUCGCUCCCACACCUUCCCACCUUUUGCAGGAGAGCAGACGUUUCCCCACAGACCUGAGGAUAAGCAAGGAAGCAGUGGCAAAAUACAGCAGCGGGCUAAUCCCUCCCCCAUCUCCGCCAGGCGAAGCGGCAGGGAUCCGGGCGCACGCAGACAGCGGGGGAUGGGGCAGGGGUACACACAUGGACUCGCGCAUCCCUCUGCAGGGCUGGCAGAGCCGGGGACCUUCUCCGAGACGAGCGCCGAGGGGCGAGGGCGGUGCGGGGAAGGGGCGGGGGAGCGGGAAGCAGGGGGAGGGCGAGAGCCCGGUUUCUGCAGCGGGGGGAGGAGGAAGGAGGGACCGUGUAGGUGGGAUGGUCCGGAAAUCCCGUGAUAAAAAGAGGAGCGCGGGGGAAAAGUAG